CCGCAACCGCUUUGUGCUGCUGAGUUCGAGGAAUGCAACAUCCACCUUAGAGAGAAAAUGCACAUUUAAAUUACAUGUAAUCUUAUUGAUUUUAUAAUUCAAGUGUUUGUACAGGGAAGCGUUCAAAGCGCACAAAUUUAUCAUCCAAUACGUUGGGCGUUGAAAGUGGACUGAACAAAACUCAAAAACAAGGAACUCACUCAAGUUUAGACGCAGGGACAGCUAACACAUAACAUGAGACGCCGAUGCAAAGAUGGACGCUCUUUAGGGAGAGCAAGAAAAAUGAUUUCAAAAGCAUAUCCAGAGAUGAGGCCGCAGAGAAGUAAUGUACCUUUAAACCAAGUUGAUAAGAAUAACCGAGAUCUCACUGAACGGAGGACAUUGCUUCCACAUGGAAGAUAUCUCAAGACAUGUCAGGAAUGAUGUAAGACGAAUGCUUAGAUUUAGAACUCACUACUGUCGCAACAUCCUUUACUCGUGUAAACAAUAAUGCCUAAAAAGUUUAUUUGUUACGUUGAAAAAUAAAACCAUAAGUUCUGUAAUAAUGUUUUGUCUUCAUAGCGAAAUAAUCCCAACGAGGACGCAGUGGUCAACUCUGUAAUCUAAAAAAACAGUCUACUUAUGCUUUCGCGAUUUGCCAAUCAGAACUGAAAUGUUAUAAUUUAUGAAGCAUCCUUAUUUGGAAUCUAGUUUGAAUUAACAUCUUCCUUGGAACUCCA